UAGUGGCGAACGGGUGAGUAACGCGUGAGCAACCUGCCUUUCAGAGGGGGACAACAGUUGGAAACGACUGCUAAUACCGCGUAAGACCACGGGAUCGCAUGAUCUUGAGGUCAAAGGAGCAAUCCGGUUUGAGAUGGGCUCGCGUCCGAUUAGCUAGUUGGUGAGAUAAAAGCCCACCAAGGCGACGAUCGGUAGCCGACCUGAGAGGGUGAUCGGCCACAUUGGAACUGAGAAACGGUCCAGACUCCUACGGGAGGCAGCAGUGGGGAAUAUUGGGCAAUGGGCGAAAGCCUGACCCAGCAACGCCGCGUGAGGGAAGAAGGGUUUCGGCUCGUAAACCUCUGUCCUAUGGGACGAAGGAAGUGACGGUACCAUAGGAGGAAGCCCCGGCUAACUACGUGCCAGCAGCCGCGGUAAUACGUAGGGGGCGAGCGUUGUCCGGAAUGAUUGGGCGUAAAGGGCGCGUAGGCGGCCUGUUAAGUCUGGAGUGAAAGUCCUGCUUUCAAGGUGGGAAUUGCUUUGGAUACUGAUGGGCUCGAGUGCAGGAGAGGAAAGCGGAAUUACCGGUGUAGCGGUGAAAAUGCGUGGAGAUCGGUGGGAACACCAGUGGCGAAGGGGGCUUUCUGGACUGUAACUGACACUGAGGCGCGAAAGCGUGGGGAGCAAACAGGAUUAGAUACCCUGGUAGUCCACGCCGUAAACGAUGAGUGCUAAGUGUUAGGGGGUUUCCGCCCCUUAGUGCUGCAGCUAACGCAUUAAGCACUCCGCCUGGGGAGUACGGUCGCAAGACUGAAACUCAAAGGAAUUGACGGGGGCCCGCACAAGCGGUGGAGCAUGUGGUUUAAUUCGAAGCAACGCGAAGAACCUUACCAGGUCUUGACAUCCGGAUGACCGGACCUUAAUCGGUCUUUUCCUUCGGGACAUCCGAGACAGGUGGUGCAUGGUUGUCGUCAGCUCGUGUCGUGAGAUGUUGGGUUAAGUCCCGCAACGAGCGCAACCCUUAUCUUUAGUAGCCAGCAUUUAGGAUGGGCACUCUAGAGAGACUGCCAGGGAUAACCUGGAGGAAGGUGGGGAUGACGUCAAAUCAUCAUGCCCCUUAUGACCAGGGCUACACACGUGCUACAAUGGCGUAAACAAAGGGAAGCGAUCACGUGAGUGUAAGCAAAUCUCAAAAAUAACGUCUCAGUUCGGAUUGUAGUCUGCAACUCGACUACAUGAAGCUGGAAUCGCUAGUAAUCGCGAAUCAGCAUGUCGCGGUGA
rnacentral:rRNA from 1 species